AGAAAACCAAUUGGAUUAACUGGGUGCGGUGAGGGUUCGGCCAGGGGUUAGAGCUUACUCGAUUGCUUGUUUUUGUUUUGUUAUGUAUUGGAAUAGUAUGUUAAUGUUUUUAUCCGAGAAAAUCCAAUCGUUUGUCUUGUUCUUGAGAACGAUAACCAGUCGAAUUAGAAGAUGAAACAUGAGCAGGAUUGUGAUUUGAAUCUGUGGAACGGGGGUCAAACAUUUUCGAAUUCCUAACUAAGAAUUUAUCUGAAUUAUUUCACAAUUUAACAUCGCUAUAUGAAUUCUUUUACUCAUUUUCUUCUGCUUUGUGUGGUACAAAAUGAUUAUUAUGAAAUCUCAAUGACAUUCCGAACAGUUAUUCCCCUGCCCGGAAUGAUUCAGUAGUAAAAUUCCCAUGAUGGAUUUAGCUCGUCACCAAUCGACGGCUGUAGACAGUGCAAUGCGAGGAACACUCGCUAAUGAAUUAGUGUUCCAAUUAGCACCUGUGACGACUUAGUCAGUCAGAUAUUCGAACUAUAAAAUUUUCAAACGCCGAUCGUCGGCAUGCAGUCUUGAAAGCGAUUCGAAGCCAUCUUGAACGGAAUUGGGGACUGGAGUAGCAGUUUUUUUUGUUUAUUGGUGCGAAAAUGUUGAAAUUGAUGUUUGCGAUGUUGUUUGCGUUUGUGCUCUUUGGGAAUGCCCGAGCCGAUCCUCAUCACGAACGACCUAUUAUUGUUGCGGGACCACCAGUCAUUGUGGCGCCAGCAAUUCGACGUGCUCCCAUCUUAGUACGGCGACCAAUCAUUGUGCAAAAACCCAUUGUGGUUCGUCGUCCGAUAGUUGUUCCACCCGCUGUAGUGAUAGGUUGAAGAUCAUAAUUUAAUUUAAAAUCUAAUUAAAAAAAUAAACAAUUCAAAACAGUCUCAUGAUUUUUUCAAUUAUAUUAUAAAAUAAUUUCUGACACUAAUUUAGGCUCAUUUUUGACACCAAUUAAUUCAGAUUGUUUCGAGUAGUUAACAAAAGCAUGCUUCAGUGUUUAUGUCACAUACUCGGUAUCAAUUCUCAAACCAAGCGCUUGACAUUUGCGUUGCCUAUUUCUAUGAGAAGUGUGGUGCCAAUUUAAAAAAGAUAACCCUUCUUAAUCUACUUAGUGAAAUUUCCAUAGAUCUUGGUAUCAAAUGGAUGUGACUUUUGGUUCCGAAGAGAGAUUUUAUGACAAAAGUCUUGAAAUUGCAUGAAACGUCGAGAUUUA